UGAAGGUUUUACUAGCGGUGGGAAAGGAGCCAUUUCCUACAAUCUACGUGGACUCAAGCAAAGAAAAUGAGAGAUGGGCUGUUAUUUCCAAGACUCAGCUCAAGAACGUGAGAAAACAGUGGCAGAGAGAGCUAUCGAAAACUGAAGCCCGAGAAAAGAAAGAGGCAGAAGAUGCGCUGCGACGUGAAAAAAACCUGGAGGAAGCAAAGAAAAUUGUCAUUGAGAACGAUCCCAGUCUCCCAGA